AUCGUAGGCUGCAACUCGCCUACGUGAAGGCGGAAUCGCUAGUAAUCGCAGGUCAGCAUACUGCGGUGAAUACGUUCCCGGGCCUUGUACACACCGCCCGUCACACCAUGGAAGUUGGCCACGCCCGAAGCCGUUACUCCAACCCUUGUGGAGGAGGACGUCGAAGGUGGGGCUGAUGACUGGGGUGAAGUCGUAACAAGGUAUCCGUACCGGAAGGUGCGGAUGGAUCACCUCCUAA
rnacentral:rRNA from 1 species